GAUCAAGUAUAAAAGGGCGCACGGAGGAUACCUUGGCACUAUCAGCCGAUGAAGGACGCGACUGGCUGCGAUAUGCCCCGGGGAGCUGUCAAAGUAGCUUUGAUCCGGGGAUUUCCGAAUGGGGCAACCUGUUACGAGUAAUAUCGUAACGUUUUUCGAUAACCCAGCGAACUGAAACAUCUUAGUACCUGGAGGAAAAGAGACAAAUUUUGCAUUCCCAAAGUAGUGGCGAGCGAAAUGGGAGGAGCCUAAACCUAUACAAUGCCAAGCUUGCAGGUUUUGUUGUAUAGGUGUCGCGGGGUAUUUUUUCUACAAACUGCAAAUUGUAGGGAGAGUAAAAAACUUAUCGUUUAGUUGAAUAUAGUUGGAAAGCUAUAACCAAAGAAGGUGAAAGUCCUGUAAGCGAAAAAUGAUAAACUCUCUUAAAAUAUUCCCAAGUACUAUGGGACACGAGAAAUCCCUUAGGAAUCUGGGUGGACCAUCACCCAAGGCUAAAUACUAGAUAGUGACCGAUAGUGAACUAGUACCGUGAGGGAAAGGUGAAAAGAACCGCGGAAGCGGAGUGAAAUAGAAUAUGAAACCGUGUGCCUACAAGCAGUAGGAGCUAUGACUUCGGUCAUAGUGACUGCAUGCCUAUUGAAGAAUGAGCCGUCGACUUACUGUUGCAUGCAAGGCGAAAGCCGAAGCGAAAGCGAGUUUUAACAGAGCGAUUAAGUAUGCAGUAGUAGACCCGAAACUGCAGCGACCUAGCCGUGGUCAGGAUGAAAUCCCGAUAAUAUCGGGAUGGAGGUCCGAACCGGUUGAUGUUGAAAAAUCUUCGGAUGAACUGCGGCUAGCAGUGAAAAGCUAAACGAGCUCAGAGAUAGCUGGUUCUCCUCGAAAUGGUUUUAGGGCCAGCCUUAAGUAAAAUUGCUUUGGGGGUAGAGUACAGUUUGAACUAGGGGGCAGGAAUGCCUUCCAACUUCUUGCUAACUCCGAAUACCAAAGUUAAGUUUCUUGGGAGUGAGAGUCCGGGGGAUAAGCUCCAGGCUCAAAAGGGAAACAGCCCAGACCAUCAGCUAAGGUCCCUAAAUGUAUGCUAAGUGGAUAAGGUAGUUGAGUCACCAAAACAGCCAGGAGGUUGGCUUAGAAGCAGCCAUCCUUUAAAGAAAGCGUAACAGCUCACUGGUCGAGUGAUUUUGCGCCGAAAAUACACGGGGCUCAAGCAUACUACCGAAGCUAUGGAUGCCCCGAUUUGAUCGGGGCGUGGUAGAGGAGCGUUCCGUUUUAGGUUGAAGUCGCAGCGCGAGCUGCGGUGGACGAUACGGAAGUGAGUAUGACGGCAUAAGUAACGAAAAGAUGAGUGAGAAUCUCAUCCGCCUAAAGUCUAAGGUUUCCUGGGGAAGGUUCGUCCGCCCAGGGUAAGUCGAUAUCUAAGCUGAGGCCGAAAGGCGUAGGUGAUUGGCAAACGGGUUAAUAUUCCCGUACCACCUUGUAGAGUUAACACUAGGAGGGACGCAGAAGGGUAAGUCAUCCGCUUAUUGGAUUGCGGUCUAAGUACGUAGGGGGUAAGGUAGGCAAAUCCGCCUUAUAUUAAACCCUGAAGUACAAAUGGGACCCUGACUUCUAGUCGGGGGAACUGACUGAUCCCACGCUGACGAGAAAAGCUUCGAGUGUUUUUACAGGGUGAUCGUACUAUAAACCGACACAGGUGGACAGGUAGAGAAUACUAAGGCGCGCGAGAGAACUCUCGCUAAGGAACUCGGCAAAAUGGUUUCGUAACUUCGGGAGAAGAAACGCCCUAGUAGAGUGUCAAAGCUCGAAUGGGUCACAGAAACCAGACUCUUGCAACUGUUUAACAAAAACACAGGUCUCUGCAAACCAGAAAUGGGAAGUAUAGGGGCCGAUGCCUGCCCAGUGCUGGAAGGUUAAGGGGCGAGCUGAGAUUAUAUCAAGGUUCAAACCGAAGCCCCAGUGAACGGCGGCCGUAACUAUAACGGUCCUAAGGUAGCGAAAUUCCUUGUCGGGUAAAUUUAUGGUCGGCAUAACUUGCCCGAACAGAGUGGAAACACUGUGUGAGUAAACUGGCUUAUAACGGUGAAGGCUGUCAA
rnacentral:rRNA from 1 species